GAUGAACGCUGGCGGCGUGCCUAAUACAUGCAAGUCGAGCGAACAGACGAGGAGCUUGCUCCUCUGACGUUAGCGGCGGACGGGUGAGUAACACGUGGAUAACCUACCUAUAAGACUGGGAUAACUUCGGGAAACCGGAGCUAAUACCGGAUAAUAUAUUGAACCGCAUGGUUCAAUAGUGAAAGACGGUUUUGCUGUCACUUAUAGAUGGAUCCGCGCCGCAUUAGCUAUUUGGUAAGGUAACGGCUUACCAAGGCAACGUUGCGUAGCCGACCGGAGAGGGUGAUCGGCCACACUGGAACUGGGACACGGUCAAGACUCCUACGGAAGGCAGCAGUAGGGAAUCUUCCGCAAUGGGCGAAAGCCUGACGGAGCAACGCCGCGUGAGUGAUGAAGGUCUUCGGAUCGUAAAACUCUGUUAUUAGGGAAGAACAAAUGUGUAAGUAACUAUGCACGUCUUGACGGUACCUAAUCAGAAAGCCACGGCUAACUACGUG
rnacentral:rRNA from 1 species